GUCACCAUUCACAUUAAUUAUUGCCAAGCUUCAAGAUGGCGGAAGAUAGCCAAGCUAAAGACGUACCUGUAACGACAGACUCGGGCAAAGAUGAAGACUCAAAGGUGCUCAACUUGAGCAUAAAGACCACUAAGAAGAAAGAAUCGAUUCAAGUGCCUGUGGAUUGUACUGUAAAGCAGUUAAAAGAGCUGUUGUGUAAACUUAUGGAUGCCCCCGUGCCACAGCAGUGCCUUAUCUUUGCCGGGAAGAUCCUCAAAGAAGAGGAGACCCUUGAGAAACAGGGGAUCAAAGAUGGUGUCACUAUUCACCUUGUGGUCCGCUCAAGCUCCUCCACUAAUAAGGCUGCUGGCAGUGGGAGUGGCUCCUCUCAGGCGCCCCCUGCUGCAACAACAGGGACCACCACCACCACCAGUACUGCUCCCCCUCCUCAACAAUCCACAGCUGUACCUGGCCCCUCCCCCUUUGGAAUGUUUGGAGCCCCCCAGGGAGACCUUCAACAGCAGAUGGCACAAGUGCAACAGCAACUCCAGAGCAACCCUGAGAUGAUGCAGCAGAUGAUGGAGAGCCCAAUGAUGCAGAACUUCCUCUCCAACCCUGAGGCACUGCAGUCUGUCCUCACCUCUAACCCACAGAUGCAACAGCUUAUGGAGCGUAACCCAGAGCUCUCUCACAUCCUCCACAAUCCUGAACUGAUGAGGCAGGCUCUUGAGAUGACACGCAACCCAGCGGCCAUGAGGGAACUCAUGAGGUCCCAGGACAGACAGCUCUCUAACAUCGAGAGCCUCCCUGGGGGGUUCAAUGCUCUGGCCAGGAUGUACACGGAGAUACAAGAGCCGAUGAUGGACGCAGCUCAGGAGUCACUUCAACAGCAGAUGCAGAACAACCCGUUCUCAGCUCUCUUCUCACAGCAGCAAGGUUCCCCGGAUCCUGGUGCCUCUGUACCUCAAGGCACUACCAACACUGACCCCUUACCCAAUCCAUGGGCUCCACCCACUGCCACACCUCCUGGAACUACAACCACCACCACUUCAGGCUCCAACACCAGACCAGCUACCACUGGAGGAGGGGCUGGCGGACCCCCCUCAAUGAUGAAUCCGGCCAUGAUGAGUCAGAUGAUGGGCGGGGCUGGAAUGGGAGCGCAUCCCCUAGCUCAAAACCCUGAACUUAUGGCUCAAAUGAUGCAGUCCCCAAUGUUUCAGCAGACGAUGCAGAGAAUGGCCAGCAAUCCUGAGAUGAUGGAACAGAUGAUUAGGAACAACCCAAUGUUUGCCGGCAACCCCCAGGCUACUGAGAUGGCCAGACAAGCAUCACAAAUGAUGGCUAACCCUGAGAUGAGGCAGAUGCUCACCAACCCUGAGGCAAUGCGAGCCAUGAUGCAAAUACAGCAGGGAAUGGCUACUCUACAGCAGACAGCACCAGGGCUACUCCGGCCUGCAGGAGGUGUGGGAAUGCCCACCACUACACCUACCACUAGCUCUGGGACCACACCCACUCCACAGCAGCAAGGGGGAGCCCCUAAUCCCUUACUACAGCAAAUGAUGGCUCAAGCAUUGGCCGGUGGUCAAGUUCCAGGGGGUCAAGGUCCAGUAGGUCAAGGUCCAGUAGAGAGUCAGCAGCUGGCACAAGCAGAGGUGCUGUAUCAGAGCCAGCUGGAGCAGCUUGCUAACAUGGGGUUCCACAACCGACAGGCCAACCUCAGAGCUCUUGUGGAGUCAGGAGGGGAUCUAAAUGCUGCAGUGAACAGACUAAUUCAGUGAAAUUAUUUAUCCAAAUUAACUCUUGUUGCUAAGAUACAAUUUGUACGUGUGACUAACAAUUACAUGCAUGCUGUGUAUCUUAUUUUGUUCGAUUGCUUGUUUUCAUGCGAUGUUCAUUGUUGAAAGUAUAAUUAUAAAUUAUUUUGAAUGUGCAGUUUAUAUGUGAGUCACAUGAUUUGAAGUUACAUGUAUAAUUGUAUUGCCUCUG